AAACCAUGCCAAAGUGCUUUGUGUGCUACUGAUUGUGUAUCUUUAGACAUGGCCCCUCUAAAAGAUUCCAUGAAACAAGUUGUGACUCAAUGGAAUGUGCUAAAAAAUUCAGGAAAAGGGAAGAGAGGAUACCAGGGAGACUUUAAGGAUUAACACACAGUGCUGAAUAUUUGAUUAGCCCAGGAUAACAACAGGGAAAACAAGGCAUCAUUCAAUAAGAAUGAAUUUAUCACAAACUAGCCAUGCUGGAGAAAACCUUAGGCAAAAAAUGUUUUCAUACAAACCAUUCAUUAAACGACUGUGAAUAAUGAAGGAACUAAUAUAGACUGCUGUCUAUUCACAGACAAUUUAGUA